AUACGGAGGGUGCAAGCGUUAAUCGGAAUUACUUGGCGUAAAGCGUGCGCAGGCGGUUUGUUAAGUCAGAUGUGAAAGCCCCGGGCUCAACCUGGGAACUGCAUUUGAAACUGGCAAACUAGAGUGUGGUAGAGGGAAGUGGAAUUCCUCAUGUAGCGGUGAAAUGCGUAGAUAUGAGGAGGAACACCAGUGGCGAAGGCGACUUCCUGGACCAACACUGACGCUCAUGUACGAAAGCGUGGGUAGCAAACAGGAUUAGAAACCCCAGUAGUCC
rnacentral:rRNA from 1 species